CUACGGGUGGCUGCAGUGAGGAAUAUUGCGCAAUGGGGGAAACCCUGACGCAGCGACGCCGCGUGGAUGAUGAAGGCCUUCGGGUCGUAAAAUCCUGUCAGAAGGAAAGAAGUGUAUGGUAGCUAAUAUCUGCCAUACUUGACGGUACCUUCAAAGGAAGCACCGGCUAACUCCGUGCCAGCAGCCGCGGUAAUACGGAGGGUGCAAGCGUUGUUCGGAAUUCCUGGGCGUAAAGCGCGCGUAGGCGGUUUUAUAAGUCAGAUGUGAAAGUCCACGGCUCAACCAUGGAAGUGCAAUUGAAACUGUAAGACUUGAGUAUUGGAGGGGGUAGUGGAAUUCCCGGUGUAGAGGUGAAAUUCGUAGAUAUCGGGAGGAAUACCGGUGGCGAAGGCGACUAUCUGGCCAAAUACUGACGCUGAGGUGCGAAAGCGUGGGGAGCAAACAGGAUUAGAUACCCUCGUAGUC
rnacentral:rRNA from 1 species